rnacentral:rRNA from 1 species
CAGCUGUAAACUAUGUGCGUUAGGUGUGUCAGUGGCCACGUGUCACUGAGGUGCCGAAGGGAAACCGUGAAACGCACCGCCUGGGGAGUACGGUCGCAAGGCUGAAACUUAAGGAUUGGCGGGGGAGCACCACAACGGGUGGAGCCUGCGGUUUAAUUCGGACUCAACGCCGGGAAUCUCACCGGAUAAGACAGCUGAAUGAUAGUCGGGAUGAAGACUCUACUUGACUAGCUGAGAGGAGGUGCAUGGCGUAGUCGUGU